rnacentral:rRNA from 1 species
CCCUUAGAUGUUCUGGGCCGCACGCGCGCUACACUGUUCGACGCAGCGAGUCUUAACCUUGACCGAAAGGUUUGGGUAAUCUUCAGCAAAGUCGAACGUGAUGGGGAUCGAUCAUUGCAAUUAUUGAUCGUGAACGAGGAAUUCCUAGUAAGUGCAAGUCAUCAGCUUGCGCUGAUUACGUCCCCGCCCUUUGUACACACCGCCCGUCGCUACUACCGAUUGAAUGGUUUAGUGAGAUCUCUGGAUUGACGCUGGCUAGGGGGCGACCCUUGGCCAGGCUGUCGAGAAACUGCUCAAACUUGAUCAUUUAGAGGAAGUAAAAGUCGUAACA